AUACGGAGGGUGCGAGCGUUAAUCGGAAUUACUGGGCGUAAAGCGCGCGUAGGCGGCUAUUUAAGUUGGAUGUGAAAUCCCCGGGCUCAACCUGGGAACUGCAUCCAAAACUGGGUAGCUAGAGUACAGUAGAGGGGGGUAGAAUUUCAGGUGUAGCGGUGAAAUGCGUAGAGAUCUGAAGGAAUACCAGUGGCGAAGGCGGCCCCCUGGACUGAUACUGACGCUGAGGUGCGAAAGCGUGGGGAGCAAACAGGAUUAGAUACCCCGGUAGUCC
rnacentral:rRNA from 1 species